rnacentral:rRNA from 1 species
CGGAAAAGAAUAAUACAUGGUUUCAGCAACGGAUCAUAUAGGCUCUCGCAUCGAUGAAGGACGAAGCGAAUCGCGAUAAGUAAUGUGAAUUGCAGAUUUUCCGUGAAUCAUCGAAUCUUUGAACGCACCUUGCGCUCCUUGGUAUUCCGAGGAGCAUGCCUGUU